rnacentral:rRNA from 1 species
AACGCUAGCGGCAGGCUUAACACAUGCAAGUCGAGGGGUAUUUAUCUUCGGAUAGAGAGACCGGCGCACGGGUGCGUAACGCGUAUGCAAUCUACCUUUUACAGAGGGAUAGCCCAGAGAAAUUUGGAUUAAUACCUCAUAGUAUGCAGAGUUGGCAUCAGCCCUGCAUUAAAGUCACAACGGUAAAAGAUGAGCAUGCGUCCCAUUAGCUAGUUGGUAAGGUAACGGCUUACCAAGGCAACGAUGGGUAGGGGUCCUGAGAGGGAGAUCCCCCACACUGGUACUGAGACACGGACCAGACUCCUACGGGAGGCAGCAGUGAGGAAUAUUGGUCAAUGGGCGCAAGCCUGAACCAGCCAUGCCGCGUGCAGGAUGACGGUCCUAUGGAUUGUAAACUGCUUUUGUACGAGAAGAAACACUCCUUCGUGAAGGAGCUUGACGGUAUCGUAAGAAUAAGGAUCGGCUAACUCCGUGCCAGCAGCCGCGGUAAUACGGAGGAUCCAAGCGUUAUCCGGAAUCAUUGGGUUUAAAGGGUCCGUAGGCGGUUUAGUAAGUCAGUGGUGAAAGCCCAUCGCUCAACGGUGGAACGGCCAUUGAUACUGCUAGACUUGAAUUAUUAGGAAGUAACUAGAAUAUGUAGUGUAGCGGUGAAAUGCUUAGAGAUUACAUGGAAUACCAAUUGCGAAGGCAGGUUACUACUAAUGGAUUGACGCUGAUGGACGAAAGCGUGGGUAGCGAACAGGAUUAGAUACCCUGGUAGUCCUCGCCGUAAACGAUGGAUACUAGCUGUUGGGAGCGAUCUCAGUGGCUAAGCGAAAGUGAUAAGUAUCCCACCUGGGGAGUACGUUCGCAAGAAUGAAACUCAAAGGAAUUGACGG